GGGGAUGUAGCUCAGCUGGCUAGAGCGCUUGACUGGCAGUCAAGAGGUCGUGGGUUCGAAGCCCCAUCUUCCCCAC
rnacentral:tRNA from 1 species